UUUCUGAUUCUGAGAUAUUGCUACCUACGUCUAGGUAAAACUAAAAUCAUAAAACCCCCCGAGAACUAUGAAGUUGCUGCAGGAAAAUCAGCCACUUUUCGUUGUAAUGCUGAAGCCGAUCCAAGUUUGGAGUUAGUGAUUGAGUGGCAGUUUAACAACAACCCAAUAGACUUCGAUCAAGAAUCUCAUAUGGUACAAGCUGCAGAUAACUCACUGACCAUCACAAAGACUCAAGAGCAAGACUCUGGGUUGUACACCUGUGUAGCAAAAACAGAUCUAGAUGAAGACACAGCUUGGGCAACCCUCACAGUUCAGGAUGUUCCAAAUGCACCCAGGAUUAAAGGCGUUGAGUGUGAUGGUCUAAUAGCUCUUGUUGAAUGGCAACCGUUGGGUGAUCGUCGAGCCCCCAUCCUCAGCUAUACAAUUCAAUUUAACACUAGUUUUACUCCAGACACUUGGGAGGAUGCUUUUGUGAACAUUCCUGCACCUGACUGAAUCGAUUCAGGGUAUCUAUGACCCCUUGGGCCAACUACACUUUUCGGGUGAUUGCCAGAAACAAAAUUGGCCCAAGUCUUCCAAGUGGUCCCUCUGAACGAUGUUCAACUCCUGAAGAUGUACCUUACAAGAAUCCUGAUAAAGUGUUGGGUCGUGGUACCAACCAACAUAAUCUAGUCAUUUCAUGGACAGUAAGUUAAAAUCUGAUCAGUGUUCAACU